rnacentral:rRNA from 1 species
GGGUCCUACGGGAGGCAGCAGCAAGGAAUUUUCCGCAAUGGGCGAAAGCCUGACGGAGCAACGCCGCGUGCGGGAUGACGCGUUUCGGCGUGUAAACCGCUGUUCAUGGGGACGAAGCACUGACGGUACCCAUGGAGGAAGGCCCGGCUAACUACGUGCCAGCAGCCGCGGUAAUACGUAGGGGUCGAGCGUUGUCCGGAGUUACUGGGCGUAAAGCGCGCGCAGGUGGCUCAUUACGCCCGGCGUGAAAGCCCCCGGCUCAACCGGGGAGGGUCGUCGGGUACGGGUGAGCUUGAGGGUAUCAGGGGCUGGUGGAAUUCCCGGUGUAGUGGUGAAAUGCGUAGAGAUCGGGAGGAACACCCGUGGCGAAGGCGGCCAGCUGGGAUACACCUGACACUGAGGCGCGAAGGCGUGGGGAGCGAACGGGAUUAGAUACCCCGGUAGUCCUCGCAGUAAACGAGCAGAACUCAA